UGGAUCAUUCUAAUGUGUGAGAACCAGGGCAAGGAAGUGAAAAUCUCAUAUUCUUUGGGAGAGUGAUGUUAGAUGGGCUGAUGAUACCACCGAGGCAGGGGAGGCCAGGGGACACUGCCAAGGGCAGUGGGGGCUUUUGCUGUGAUUCAUAUUUCAGACUCCUGGAGGGGGUUCCCUCACAAACAGUCCCUGCCCAAGUCUGGCAAGCAGUCAUAGUAAGAUAAACUCUGCUGCACAACAAGGUCAGGCAGGGUGGUAAGGGGGAGGGGUGGCAGUGCACAGUUGCAGGGUUUCAACUUUCUGAGCUGUUCUACCCUGGGUGAUAUGAACAAGACCCAGAAGUUCCCACACACACUCAAGAUGAGACUCAGGAACUCAAUGAACUGACAGCAGAAGCACUGUCAUGGUGCCCAUUGUUCAAGAGCCAAGGUGACUGGCAGCCUCUGCUACAACACGUCCAGGCCGAGGGACAAAUGGAACUCAGAGCAGAGCCUAAGAGGGGCCCACAGUGCCAGCAAGAGCUGGGAUGAGGUUUUGGCAGCCAGGAAAGGCUUCUGUAUCCUGAGCUAGUCAAGAGAGGCCAACCUACUGGCCUUUGCAGCCACCAACAUCGUCUGCAAAGGCCAGUAGGACAAGCAGCAACCAGGCUGAUAAGCAGUGUUGCUGAGACCAGAGGUGCCAGGGGACACUGCUCCAAUCCAAGCAACCCUCCCAUUCACGUCAGCACCUCACGGUCACCUCGCCAGGGCUGAUAGUCAUGGUCUCCAUCAGCAGGGCUGGACUGAUUACUGGCGGUCAGCAUCCAUUCUGAUUGGUGUCUGCCUGUGAGAAAUCAGGAAAAGGAGAUACAGAAAAUUUCUGGGUAAGUCAAAUUGUUCUGGAAAAAGUAAGAAUUCUACCAAAAAGAAGACUGGAUGAACACCUGAGAUUAUACACUACAAGCAGAAGGAAAAAUGGCCCACUAUUGUGUGGCAAAGCAAUGGAUUGGCCAAGAAUCCCAAGAGGAGAGCUGUUUACCAGACUGGAUCCCCACCUCUGGAAGAUGAAGCCUCUGGAUAAUUCCAGCACUUGUAUUUCAUUGGGUUAUUCCAUGAGUAUUUAGCUUAACUCUGUGUCGGGCCCUAUUUAAGGACCUGGGGAUAUAGCAAUGAACAAAACAGACAAAAAUGCCUGACCUGACACAUGUUACAGUUUCAGGGAUAAUGAGACAGACAAUAGACCAAAUAAAUAAGUAGAAAUAUGUGAUUUUUUUGUAUAGUGUUAAGAGCUAUAGAUAAAAAAUUAUAUGGAAAAAGGAGACGGGGAAUGUCCAUGGUGGGGUUAUUGUUUUAAAUAGGAUGAUUCAAGAAAGCGUAACAGAGAGGGUGACUUUUUAGCAACAGUCUUGAGGAGAUGAGGAGGCAAGCCAUGUUGCUAUCAAGGAGAAGCACUCCUGGCAAAAGGCAGGCAGAUGCAAAAGCCCUAAGGUGAGGAGGUGCCUGGAAUGUUCGAGGGACAGUGUGGGUUAACGGGGAGGAGCAGGAGAUGAGUCAAUAAGUGGAUGCGCACAAGUGCCAGAAGGAAACCACUCUGCUUCAGUCCAAGCCGAUUCACCUGCAUUUUCAGCUUUCCCAGACAGCUUAUCACACAGGAAGUCACCAAACCCACCACUACCGGCACUAAAAGAAGGCACCUAUAAAGGACUUUCAGCUUUUUCUUAAGAUCCUCAUUUACUGCGAAAGCUUUCUCGUUAGUUGUGAGAAAAAUUACCCCAGAUUACUUCAAAACAUUAAAGUGCUGGAGAAAAACAAACCUGGCCAACUGGCACUUAAUACUGACAAAGUCCCCCAAUUUAUCAAUCAUGCUUUAAGGAAAUAGGGGUCAUAGCUGAAGAGCUCCAAGUAAUUACUAGUGAGGAUGCUGGACCAAGUGUUAAAUGGCCAAGAAAGCAAGAGAGUCACUGGGAAGAGAAGAAUGGUGGAUGUUUUUUGCUUAUCUUUCCUGCAUCUAUUACUCCUCCGCUGCCCUCCCCAGAGCUCUCAGUUUCUAUUUCCAAGUGCGAGUGUGCUCAGUUGUGUCCAGCUCUUUUUGUGACCCUAUCGGUUGUAGCCUGCCAAGUUCCUCUGUCCAGGGGAUUCUCCAGGCAAGAAUACUGGAGUGGGUUGCCA
ensembl:lncRNA